CUCUCUGGACUCUCCCCCUAUAUAUUGUAACUGCUCGUAUUUUUUUCCUCAAGGACUUUUUCCCAGAGCAACAUCUCUUUUUGACACAUACACAAACUCUCAUCAUGCCAGAGUCCGCAGACGUUCCUGCCCAGUGCCAGGUGCUCAAAGAGGAAGUGGACAAAUGUGUCCAAGCGAAGGGACCAGAGGGCUGUAAGGAGCUGCUGGAGGCUUUUGAGGCCUGUAUGAAGAGCGUCGCUGCAGCCUCUUGAGAGGAAGAAUGUUUCAAAGGUGCUCCUUCUUUGGGUCCUCCAAUAUCCCUGCAUUCCUUACUGUAUUGUGCGAUGGACUGAACCAUUUUAAUGACUGCGGAAGGGGUGUCGAUGCUGGAAGUCCGGGAAGCUGAAAUGGAGAUGUCUUGAGGAUGUGACUGAUAAUGCCAUAUACAAACAUAACAGCAAGAAGAAGCCACUGUAUUUAUAUCUGGUGAUCAGUUAGUUCUUUAUGUAUGAAAAACACUGUUCAGUUAAGAAUUUUCAAUAAAACCAGUUUAACUGUUAA